CCUCUCUCUGACCCUCUCUGACUCUGCGUGCACUUUCUCCCUCUCUCGAAAAAAUAAAUAAAUAAACAUGAAAAAAAGCAAUAAGGCUGAUCCUUUGUAGAGGAGGCAAGAAGGUUAGCAUGUUUCAUGUGUAAAUAGCAUCCAUGGCACCUCAAAUAUGACAGACAAAUAGGGCGCCUCCUCUAAGGAUGACUAUGUGGAACCAACACCCCAACAAACCCAAGUCCUUCCUGUAUUUAAAAGUAACGUCACUCAUUGGAUAUAUAAGUUUAGACAAAUUCCAAAGCUCAAAUAAACUCAGUUCUUAUAUCACCAAGUUUGGGGGAAGAAAGAAAAAAAGCAUAAUAAAUGCUUUACUUACAGUACAAUGCAUAGAAAAAUAAUAUUAUCUGUGUUUCCCAACUUAAUAGGCGUCCUACACAGUCACACCUUGUGUGUAUAAGAAGGGAAAAGCACCAAAUGCCUCCCCAGCGACCUGCAGGGCAAGCAAACCAAUGACCCCUGGAAAAGUGAGUUUUGGCUCUUGUUCUUUGCUAAGUGACUUAGAAACUCUUAUAGACGUACAUUUUCUGAAGCUUUUGGCAGACUGAAAAACUGGGUAAAUCUUCCAGCAGGUUGUAAGAUAGAUCUCUGAAAAACAGAAGGUACAAAAGGGAAAAUCUGUUAUAUAUUAAUCUUAAGGAAACAUGCUUUGCUCUCCUUUCCUCUCCAAGAUGAUAUAUCUCCCAAAGGCAGACUCUGAACGUUUCCCCAGCCCUGACAUGGAGCAGGUAGUCAGAGGCAUUAUUGGAUUAAGCAUAGAUCCAAACGUUUACUGAAAUGUGUCUGUUUUACUUCUUUAAUUGAUUUAAAUAAUUUACUUAACAAAUUUAUUUAUAUUUUGUUAGUGAUGAUCUACAAUGUUCUAGCUAUUAUCUUGCAGAAAUGAGUCCAAAUUAAAUUAAAUAAUUGUGUCUCUCUUUCUAGGAGCUGCUAUAUCUCUACAGCUAAGAGAAUCAUUGUUGGUUCUUUUCUAAUCAGCUAAAAAAAAAAUCCAACAACAAGUCAAAACAUAGCACUAACUUUGAAAUCAAUCACUACAAGGGGGAAAAAAAAAUCUAAGAAAGUCUUCAGCCAAAACUCAACAAAUUACAGAAUAAGAAAAACAUCUGGACAUAUUUAUAGUAUAAUAUAACUAAUCUAAAACAAGCCAUGGUAAUUUGCAGAAAGCUUAAAAAAAGAAAGCUGGUAGAUAAAGUAACAUAGAUAUUUAAAAAAAAUCUUGUCUCAUGUUUUAAAAGUUAUCGGCUAAUCAACUAACACACUUUCAUGCCUGAUUCUAAUUCUUAAAACCAGAUCACCACCAUGGAACUGAAAAAUCCAUACUGUUUUCUAAGAGGCUUUUAAAUUAUCUUGUUCUUGUAAUUGAUCACUUUUUUCUACAUUUAGUGAAUAAAUGGAAUUCAUAUAGAAAUACAGUUCACUUACCACACACAAAUAAUGCAAAUGAAGCUGUUUGCAAACACAAGUUUGUAGUUUAUACUAGAGGCUUGAAAGACCAAAGUAAACCAAACAAAAUAUGAAAAAACCCAAAACCAUACCCCACACCUAUGCACAAAUAUACCUGGUUAAAAAUUCAGUGUAUAUCUUUAAAAAGUAGUAAAUGUGAUAAAAUGGACAUACAUAUCAUCAAAGCUGAUAAUAAUUUGGUUCGCUCAUCUCCACACACUGCAAGGAGACAAAUCCUUCCUGUGCACCUCUUAGUAGAGGAUACAUAAAACCUUCUCCCACGUAAAGACCCAGUGUCACCUUCUACCUACCUUCUACCUAAUGAUUUUCAUGGCUAACAUUGAUGAAGCACUUCUUAAAUAUAGACACCAUGUUUAAAGCUUUACCUAAAUUACUUCAUUUGACCUGUGGUCACCUUAUGAGGGAGACACUGAUUAUCACCAUACAAUGUGAAAUAAUUUGCCUAAGAUCACCAGCUACUUAGUGGGGAAAGCCACACACAGCCAGGGAAUUCCCAUGGAGGUGAGGCAACUUGGGGGCAGUUUCUUCAUGUACAGGUACUCAGUGGAUGAUUCAGCCAAAGGUGGAAGCUCACAGACCUAUGUUUCCAGAACAUAAAGUAGACUGUAGUAGAGGUCGGGACCCUGAGUCCUAUUCUCAGCCUCAACUUGGAUUCUUCAACUUGGUCAAUAUGUUGGUCAAAGCAUUAUACCUUUUUUAGUUCUCUCCUUAAAUGAGAAGAUACCUGCUGAUCUUGCAGUGUUGUGAAGAACAAAUCAAAAUUACAGGUUGAAGUGCUUUGAAAAUGACAAGCUUCUGUGGUUAAUGGAUUUGUAUUCUUUCAGACCUUUCAAGUUUCAGCUUGAGGAAAGAAUAGCUUGAAGAAAGAAUAACGGUUUAAGGGAAAUGAGAAAGAAGUUGAUAAGAGCUAACACUGCCUGAGAGUUUACGAUGUUCCAGUGCUGGUAUAAGUGUCUGACAUGUAGUAAUUCAUUUAAUCCUCAUGAUGAUCCUCUGAAGGAAAUGGCUAUGUCUCUAUUUUAUAGAUUGGGAAAUGGAACCCCAGAAGGGAUAAAUAACUUGCUUAAGAUCUCUUGCUGGUGUAUAGAGAGAUGGGAUUUGAACCAGAAAAACAGACCAGGGACUUUGCUCUUAGCCAAUUUAUGCAAUUCUAGACCUGGGUGGUUUACCAUUUGCUAUGUGACAUAGUGGAGACAGAUGCAGUUUAAAUGCUGGCUCCUUAAGUAUUAGCUAUAGCCUGUGAAAUCUUAGUCAUGUUAUUAAGCCAGUUUCCUUGAGAAAUGAGGGUAAUUAUGCCAUUUUGGGUGGGUAGGCAGAAUUCUAAAAUGGCCCCUAAGAUUUCCACUACCUGGUGUUCAUGCACUUUCUCCUGGUAUUCAUGCACUUUCACCAGCUAUUCAAUCAAACUGCCUGUAUUUGAAUUUGGACUCUGCUACUUUCUUGCUGUGUGACUUUGACAAAUGUGCUUAACUGUCCUAAUUGUCAGCUUCCUCAUCUGUAUCUACACCUCAGAGGGCGAUGUGGGAGAAGAGGAGGAGACUUACUCUAUGUUCCCUCCCUUUACACACAAAUGACUGACUCCAAGGCUGUCACGUGGUGUUACUACAACCUCCUAUCACCGAACAACUGAAGUCUGAAGUGGCAAGGGGGCUGGGGAGAGGGGAAGGCAGAAUCAUUAUGGCAGACAUUCCCAUUCUUCCCCUUACAUUUGUAGUGCUGCUUGUAGCUCUGCUACUGGGUGAAGCCUGUGGUGGAAUUAGAGGCAUUCAACUGACACAGAUGUCUCCUCUGUGAGAACACAGCCAUGACUGGAGACUAAGGGUCCAUUCAUUAAGUCCCCACAAUGCAUGAGAGGAUGGUAAUAGGGUUGGGAGUUGAGGGGAAGGGCUGAAAAUGGAAGGUCAAAACAAAGCUCUUCAAAUUCCUAUAAACUACUUUUCAGAAAGGGAAAGGCAGAGGAAAAAAAACCAACAACCCAAGUCAACAGAAAUAAUAUAUGCAAGCUGUUUAACCAUUAGUGGAAACACUAGAACAUGGCACCCACAACUAUACCGGAAGAAUGUUUGGUCACCUUUAUCAAGGAUGGAAAAAUCAAAAAGAACUAUGGCCACUUACAUUGUAAUAAGAGAAGGAUUGCCUACAAAUGCUUUCUCAGGACUGGAAGGUGCUUUGCAUUGCUAAGAUAUCAUGCCCAGCCCUGUGUGGAUAAGGGAGAAGUUCUAAUUUUACCAAGCAGCUCAUGGGAAUGGCUUGCUUAUGCCAUGAAAUUGACUUCAAAGUUCUGGAUAAGUUCAUCUUUGGCAUCUCCUUAUGAGGAUGGUUCCUCUCUUCUAAGAGGAGGCACAGGGUGAUUUAAGUAACCCUGGAAAGAGAGCGUGAGCACUCAUUGACCUGGAGAAGACCACUAACAACAGAUGGUCCCUCAGGAAAUCACCAGACCCAGACCUGGUUCGAAGCUAAACCGACCAUGUACGAAUGCUAAGCUCUGUAUUCAAAUAAAUAAUGGGCUCCAAGGCCACAGAA